rnacentral:rRNA from 1 species
AUUGAACGCUGGCGGCAUGCCUAACACAUGCAAGUCGAACGGCAGCGCGGGUAGCUUGCUACCUGGCGGCGAGUGGCGGACGGGUGAGUAAUGCAUAGGAAUCUGCCCAGUAGCGGGGGAUAGCCCGGGGAAACCCGGAUUAAUACCGCAUACGCCCUACGGGGGAAAGCAGGGGAUCUUCGGACCUUGCACUAUUGGAUGAGCCUAUGUCUGAUUAGCUUGUUGGUGGGGUAACGGCCUACCAAGGCGACGAUCAGUAGCUGGUCUGAGAGGACGAUCAGCCACACCGGAACUGAGACACGGUCCGGACUCCUACGGGAGGCAGCAGUGGGGAAUAUUGGACGAUGGGGGAAACCCUGAUCCAGCAAUGCCGCGUGUGUGAAGAAGGCCUGCGGGUUGUAAAGCACUUUCAGUUGGGAAGAAACAGCAGCCGGCUAAUAUCCGGUUGUCUUGACGUAACCAACAGAAGAAGCACCGGCUAACUCCGUGCCAGCAGCCGG